rnacentral:rRNA from 1 species
GCUACGGGUGGCUGCAGUGAGGAAUAUUGGUCAAUGGGCGAGAGCCUGAACCAGCCAAGUCGCGUGAAGGAUGACGGCUCUACGGGUUGUAACCUUCUUUUGUCAGGGAGCAAUUGAGUCCACGUGUGGGCUUAGCGCGAGUAGCUGAAGAAAAGGCAUCGGCUAACUCCGUGCCAGCAGGCGCGGUAAUACGGGGGAUGCGCGCGUUAUCCGGAUUUAUUGGGGUUAAAGGUUUCGUAGUCGGAAUAUCAAGUCAGCGGUAAAAAUUCGGGGCUCAACACCGUCGUGCCGUUGAAACUGAUGUUCUUGAGUGGGCGAGAAGUAUGCGGAAUGCGUGGUGUAGCGGUGAAAUGCAUAGAUAUCACGCAGAACUCCGAUGGCGAAGGCAGCAUACCGGCGCCCAACUGACGCUGAAGCACGAAAGCGUGGGUAUCGAACAGGAUUAGAUACCCUUGUAGUC